CAGCCGCCGCGGGAAUACAGAGGGUGCGAGCGUUAAUCGGAUUUACUGGGCGUAAAGCGUGCGUAGGCGGCUUUUUAAGUCGGAUGUGAAAUCCCUGAGCUUAACUUAGGAAUUGCAUUCGAUACUGGGAAGCUAGAGUAUGGGAGAGGAUGGUAGAAUUCCAGGUGUAGCGGUGAAAUGCGUAGAGAUCUGGAGGAAUACCGAUGGCGAAGGCAGCCAUCUGGCCUAAUACUGACGCUGAGGUACGAAAGCAUGGGGAGCAAACAGGAUUAGAACCCCAGUAGUCCCUGUCUCUUAUACA
rnacentral:rRNA from 1 species